UACGUAGGGUGCGAGCGUUGUCCGGAAUUAUUGGGCGUAAAGGGCUCGUAGGCGGUUUGUCGCGUCGGGAGUGAAAUCCACUGGCUUAACUGGUGGCUUGCUUUCGAUACGGGCAGACUGGAGGCAUGCAGGGGAGAACGGAAUUCCUGGUGUAGCGGUGAAAUGCGUAGAGAUCCGGAGGAACACCAGCGGCGAAGGCGGCAUCCUGGACUGGUACUGACGCUCAUGAGCGAAAGCGUGGGGAGCGAUCCGG
rnacentral:rRNA from 1 species